AUUGAACGCUAGCGGGAUGCUUUACACAUGCAAGUCGAACGAGUGGCGGACGGGUGAGUAAUAUAUCGGAACGUGCCCAGUAGCGGGGGAUAACUACUCGAAAGAGUGGCUAAUACCGCAUACUAUUGCCGCGGCCGAUAUCCGAUUAGCUAGUUGGUGUGGUAAAGGCUCACCAAGGCAACGCUCCCUCGCUGGUUUGAGAGGACGACCAGCCACACUGGGACUGAGACACGGCCCAGACUCCUACGGGAGGCAGCAGUGGUGAAUUUUGGACAACGGGGGAAACCCUGAUCCAGCCAUCCCGCGUGUAUGAGAAGGCCUUCGGGUUGUAAAGUACUUUAGGCAGAGAAGAGGUAUAUGAAGAAUAAGCACCGGCUAACUACGUGCCAGCCGCCGCGGUAAUAG
rnacentral:rRNA from 1 species